CCUCUGCUGCACACCUGGAGAUAUGUUCCACUUUCUCCCAGAGCUCUCAUAAAAAGAUAAGUGAUCAGAGUAACACCAGGCUGGCUGUACUGAUGGCAACUGCCUUGGUCAUGCCAUGGGCAUGGCACAGCAGGCACAGGGUUGGCAGUUCCCUGUGUCUCAUAGGCACUGGUGAUCUAGCCAAUAAUGGGAGGUCAAAUGAAGUGCUGAACCGCUUUGCCAGCACUGGCCAAAGUAGAGCAGGAUGGUGAGCAGAGUCAGAGCCAGAGGCCCAGAGGAGAACAUUCCCAUGAAUGCCUCCUGUCCUCUGCUGCUCACCGGGAGACAUGUUCCACGAUAAACAAGGACACAGAUACAAAGAUAAGUGAUCAGAAAAACACCAGACUGGUUGUACUUCUGGGCAUCAGCUGCUGGCACCUUCCUUGGUCAUGGCAUGGGCAUGGCACAGCAGGAACAAUGUUGGCAGUUCAUUGUGUCAAACAGGCACUGGUGCCAUGGCCAGCACUGGGAGGUCUCAUGAAGUGCUAACCACGGUGCCCGCACAGGCCAGAGUAGAGCAGGAUUAUGAGCAGAGUCAGAGCCAGAGGCCCAGAGGAGAACAUGCCCAGACCAUGAGUGCCUCCUGUCCUCUGCUGCUCACCUGGAGACAUGUUCCACGUUCUCCAAGAGCUCUUAUAAAAAGAUAAGUGAUCAGAGUAACUCCAGGCUGGCUGUACUUCAGGGUAUCACGCUGACAACAGCCUCGUUGACACCAUGGGCAGGGCACAGCAGGCACAGUGUUGGCAGUUCCCUGUGUCACACACGCAUUGGAGACAUGAAGGCUGUAGGGAUGUAAUAAAAAGAGCUUCUCGCUGCUGCGAGCCCAGGCCAGAAAAAACAGGAUGGUGAGCAGAGUCAGAGGUAAGAGGCCAGGAGAGAUGGCAUGGAAGGGAAUGUCUAAGACCUGGGAAGGGCGGCAGGCGUGUGUCUGAUGCUCCAGACUGUGUGUCCUGUUGCUUUGUCUUGGACAGCCAGAGGCCCAGAGGAGAACAUGCCCAGACCAUGAGUGCCUCCUGUCCUCUGCUGCUCACCUGGAGACGUCUUCCACUUUCUC